GCAGUGGUGGCUCAGUGGUAGAAUUCUCAUCUUCCAUGUGAGAAACCCAGGUUUGAUUCCCAACCAAUGUA
rnacentral:tRNA from 1 species